rnacentral:rRNA from 1 species
GCUGACGAGCGGCGGACGGGUGAGUAAUGCAUAGGAAUCUGCCCGAUAGUGGGGGAUAACCUGGGGAAACCCAGGCUAAUACCGCAUACGUCCUACGGGAGAAAGGGGGCUUCGGCUCCCGCUAUCGGAUGAGCCUAUGUCGGAUUAGCUAGUUGGUGAGGUAACGGCUCACCAAGGCCACGAUCCGUAGCUGGUCUGAGAGGAUGAUCAGCCACAUCGGGACUGAGACACGGCCCGAACUCCUACGGGAGGCAGCAGUGGGGAAUAUUGGACAAUGGGGGGAACCCUGAUCCAGCCAUGCCGCGUGUGUGAAGAAGGCCCUCGGGUUGUAAAGCACUUUCAGCGAGGAAGAACGCCUAGCGGUUAAUACCCGCUAGGAAAGACAUCACUCGCAUAAGAAGCACCGGCUAACUCCGUGCCAGCAGCCGCGGUAAUACGGAGGGUGCAAGCGUUAAUCGGAAUUACUGGGCGUAAAGCGCGCGUAGGUGGCUUGAUAAGCCGGUUGUGAAAGCCCCGGGCUCAACCUGGGAACGGCAUCCGGAACUGUCAAGCUAGAGUGCAGGAGAGGAAGGUAGAAUUCCCGGGUGUAGCGGUGAAAUGCGUAGAGAUCGGGAGGAAUACCAGUGGCGAAAGCGGCCUUCUGGACUGACACUGACACUGAGGUGCGAAAGCGUGGGUAGC